rnacentral:rRNA from 1 species
AUGGAACAAAUUUCGCUUGGGCAUCGAUAUAAGGAGUGCAGGCCACAAAGGACUAGCAGCUGUCCAGCUAAACUACUUGUUGGGAAGGAUGUACUGAAAGAAUUGGAGGAAAGACGGUCAUCCCCCAGUGUGGUCGCAAAACUGAUGGGAAUUGACGUAUUGCCACCUACUUACGUAGCCCAUAAAAGACAUCAACAAUUCAAGGAUGUCUUUGAAGUGUCGGAGGAGCUACCGGAGACUUUCACAAAAGAGAUGUCGUAUCAUUGCCCUAAAGGUCUGCCAAGCUUGAAGAGGAGUGCAAUGAAAUUGAAAAAGCUUAUGCCGUCAAAGUCUCCCUAUUGUGAUGGAACAUUUGAUAAUGACGUGGAGUACAACAAUGGCUUGGAUCGCUUGAACCCACUUGAAAUAGACAAUCCUUUGUUUGAGAAGUGCCCCCGCGAUGUGAAUUAUUCCCCAAAUAAUCAACAUGAGAAAGAUAUCACAGGCACUUUCAGGAAGUACCCAGUGGGUUUAGCUAAUUCCUCACUUAAAGAUAUAAAAGAUCUGCCGAGAGGGAAUUACGGAGAUUUCAACAACAUUGUCGUUCUGGAGCCUGGCUUGGGAAACAGCCAUGAUCCAGAGAACUCUUUUUCCAUGUCGUUGCUCUCUCAUGACAAUUGCAAUUCCAGGAGAAAUAGGAAGAAGAAGUUGGCUGAGUCUGUUGUAAUGAGCAAUGAGAGAGUUUCACAACAUCUUUCAGAUACUGUUAAUGUGGCUAGAAUAAAAAGAGAAAGAUACUUGACUAGUGAUGCCAUCAAUUCUCUGUCAAAAGGAGAGGAGCCAUCAUUUGAUCAAUUCAACAUCAUAGAUAUGAAUAGCACCGGAUCAUUUCAGAUGUAUUCUGGAGGUGACAUUAACUCCAGGCAAAACAACAAGCCAUCAUCAAGUAGCUUACCUGGGAAAUCCUUUCGGAAGUAUGAUGAAGGUGAUGUCGGAUCGAGAACUCUUGCACAGAUGUUUGCUUUAUCUGAUUCAGAGAGGGUAAAGAAAAAUUUGAACCCGCAUGCUCAGAUUCAACACAGUAAACUUGACCAGGGCAAAGGCCACAACAGGGAAGGAUGCUUUAUAGUUUUACCAAAGCAUGGAUCUCCACUGUCUCUUCACACCUCAUUGGACAGGAGUUCUUCCUGCGAAGGGUCUCCUAACAGUGAAAUUUUCCCAGAUCCUUCAGUUAGUUACAACAACGGCAAGGUUACCUUUGAUUCUUUUCUGGCCAAACGAAGGCUCAAGCAAAUUGCCAGCGGGAGGCAAAAUAACUUAAGGAAUGCUUCUGUGGUAAAAAGUCUUGCCUUGGAGCAGCGGAGACCUGCUUCUCCUUCUCUUGAUGAUUUCAGGUGUCAUUCAUGGCGUCCAUCUGAUAAUGUUUCAACUUCUGACUGCAUAAAUGAGAGAUUAUUGUUCGCGACAGAUGAGGGCUUAAUCCACGAGCCUGCUGAAACUGUGCCUUCUGCGUUUCAAUUGCAAUUAUCUAGGAAACAGAAGGUUUCAGCAACGCCUUUGCAGUGUCAUGACUAUGAAUCCAUAUCUAUUUCUAAUCAUGAUGAUCUGGCAAAGUCUCGUAAAGGAUUGGAAGAGUUUGAGCAGCCGAGCCCAGUGUCCAUUCUACAGCCCCCAACUGAUGAAGACAGUUGCUGUUCUGGAUUCUUCAAGAAUGACUUGCAAGACAUGCCCAGUGUGGAGACACAAAUGGACCAUCGUCGAUUCCGAGAUGAACCUGAAGUCUCCUCCAUGUCAUGUGAUGAUGGCAAUGAUUCUUCUUACAAAUCUUUGGAAGCAUUUCAGGUUGAGGAGGACAGGGACUUCUCAUAUCUCCUUGAUAUUCUUAUAAGCUCUGGUAUGAUAGUUUCAACUGACUGGCAGCUCUUGUGCAAGUCAUGGCACUCAUCUAGUUUCCCUGUUGGUCCCCAAGUCUUUGAGAGGCUUGAGAGCAAGUACGCCAAAAUGACUUCAUGGCCAAAGCCAAAGAGGAGACUUAUGUUUGAUCUUGCAAAUUCUGUUCUCUCCGAUGUCCUUGCACCUUGCACCAAUAUACACCCAUGGGUGAGUUCUACUAGACAGUGCAGGCCUAUCUGGGGCCCUGAAGGGCCUGUUGAGAAGGUUUGGCAAAUGAUGGUUAGGCAGCAGGAGGAGCUGGCGAUAGGGCAUCCUGAUGACAAGGUUCUGGAUCCAAACUGGCUGCAAGCUGAUGAUGACAUAUAUGCGGUGGGCAACCAGAUAGCCGUCAUGUUACAUGCUGACCUCUUGGAAGAAGUCAUAUUGGAAUUCCUCUCACUCUCAGGGUCGGCCGCUGCAUGUAUGUAG